CCUGGUGGCGAGUGGCGAACGGGUGAGUAAUACAUCGGAACGUGUCCUGUAGUGGGGGAUAGCCCGGCGAAAGCCGGAUUAAUACCGCAUACGCUCUACGGAGGAAAGGGGGGGAUCUUAGGACCUCCCGCUACAGGGGCGGCCGAUGGCAGAUUAGCUAGUUGGUGGGGUAAAGGCCUACCAAGGCGACGAUCUGUAGCUGGUCUGAGAGGACGACCAGCCACACUGGGACUGAGACACGGCCCAGACUCCUACGGGAGGCAGCAGUGGGGAAUUUUGGACAAUGGGGGAAACCCUGAUCCAGCAAUGCCGCGUGUGUGAAGAAGGCCUUCGGGUUGUAAAGCACUUUUGUCCGGAAAGAAAACCUCUGGGUUAAUACCCCGGGGGGAUGACGGUACCGGAAGAAUAAGCACCGGCUAACUACGUGCCAGCAGCCGCGGUAAUACGUAGGGUGCAAGCGUUAAUCGGAAUUACUGGGCGUAAAGCGUGCGCAGGCGGUCCGCUAAGACAGAUGUGAAAUCCCCGGGCUUAACCUGGGAACUGCAUUUGUGACUGGCGGGCUAGAGUAUGGCAGAGGGGGGUAGAAUUCCACGUGUAGCAGUGAAAUGCGUAGAGAUGUGGAGGAAUACCGAUGGCGAANGCAGCCCCCUGGGCCAAUACUGACGCUCAUGCA
rnacentral:rRNA from 1 species